CGGGGCGUGGCGUAGCUUGGUAGCGUAUCUGCAUGGGGGGGUUACAGGUGGUCGGAGGUUCAAAUCCUCUCAUCCCGA
rnacentral:tRNA from 1 species